GNGACCCCAGGAUGGGCGAGGCCACCCGCCGAGUUUAAGCAU
rnacentral:rRNA from 1 species